UACGUAGGGUGCAAGCGUUGUCCGGAAUUAUUGGGCGUAAAGAGCUCGUAGGCGGUUUGUCGCGUCUGCUGUGAAAACGCGAGGCUCAACCUCGCGCCUGCAGUGGGUACGGGCAGACUAGAGUGCGGUAGGGGAGAUUGGAAUUCCUGGUGUAGCGGUGGAAUGCGCAGAUAUCAGGAGGAACACCGAUGGCGAAGGCAGCUCUCUGGGCCGUAACUGACGCUGAGGAGCGAAAGCAUGGGGAGCGAACAGG
rnacentral:rRNA from 1 species